UACGUAGGGGGCGAGCGUUGUCCGGAAUCAUUGGGCGUAAAGCGCGUGUAGGCGGCUCGGUAAGUCUGCUGUGAAAGUCCAGGGCUCAACCCUGGAAUGCCGGUGGAUACUGUCGAGCUUGAGUCCGGAAGAGGCGAGUGGAAUUCCUGGUGUAGCGGUGAAAUGCGCAGAUAUCAGGAGGAACACCGAUGGCGAAGGCAGCUCACUGGGACGGUACUGACGCUGAGACGCGAAAGCGUGGGGAGCAAACAGG
rnacentral:rRNA from 1 species